GUCAACUACCCCGGCCUGAAGGUCGGAGCUUGUGAAAGCAGGCUGGGUUGACCAGGGAAAGCGGUAUUAACCCGCUCCGUUUGCACCAGGUCGAACCGAAGCUGCGUAUUUCG
rnacentral:sRNA from 31 species